AACCCCAUUUCUAAGGUUGACCUCGGAUCAGGUAGGGAUACCCGCUGAACUUAAGCAUAUCAAUAAGCGGAGGA
rnacentral:rRNA from 1 species